UAUUUUGUGGAGAUACAUUAGAAACACUGAUGAUUUCUGCGAGUGAUGCUCUGGAUAUUGAUGGCUCUACUGUCUACACUUCAACAGGAGGACAGAUAUCAAAUAUUUCAUUGAUCAGGGAUGAUGAAACCUUGUAUAUUUCGGAUGGAAGCCCAUUCAUAGAUCCGAAAUUGAACUGUUCCCUACUAAGUGUUGGCGCUAGCAUCGGUCGAAGUAUAUGUACAAAUAACAGUGACUGGGUCACCCUCAAUGUUGGUGGGAAGCACUUCACAACUACAAGGAGUACACUGAAAGGCCGGGAGCCAGAAAGCAUGUUGGCUAGAAUGUUUGCAGAUGAUGGUAAGUUGUAUCCUUAACUCCUGAUCCCUGAGUCAUGUAGAUUUAGUUUUAAAACAGUAAGCUGAGGAAAAAUAAAUUUAUCAAUCAUUUAUUAAGCUAAAGCCAAUAAAAAGGGAAACCACAAUGUGUAUUAUAACCCAACAGGUUAUAUGGAUCGACACAAAAGGAUGACUUGGGACAAAGUUGUAAUGUAGUCGAUGUGGUUUAUUCGGCCGGCUCAAUGUGCGGCUCUCUCUGCCCAAUUGCCAGAGCUCACAGGGAUUUUAUACAUUCGUUGGACAUUCCAUUUUUUAUCCACCAUACAAGUUUCUUUGCCUUAUUAGGUAUUAGCUACUAGUCUUUGAAUAUUAAUACAGUGUGCAUGAAUAUGUUUGUUUCAUUUGGAUUUGAGGGUAGGGUUAGUCAAAUUAAUGAACACUGACUUUUCCUUAUAAGGCCGGUGGGCUGCUUCAUGACCCAUCCGGUCCAGCCCUGCUUUCCUCCCCAAGGGCCUUGUGAUUCCAUUAGUCAUUCCUUAAGUGAGGCUCAUUACUUGGAAGCAGUUCUACUGUUGAAGGUCAAUCCGUGCAUUGAACUUAAGUAGCAAUACAACAUGUGCUAUUGUAAUACGGUGAUAGUAUUUUCAUCUGAAUUUUUCUAUUACAAGAAAGAAAAGAGUGUGCACACAUUCAUGAAAACCUCCCCAUAUGAGAUUAGAGGGAGGCUUUACAAGGGAGCAGGAAUGUGUAUAUACAGUGGUUAAGUUUUAUCAGUGUUUGGGAAAAUGGUUAUAUUAUGUAAGCAGUAAAUAAUUGAAUAAUCUGCUAUUUCAUGGAUCUCACAUAAUGGAUCUGCCUGGUGGCGUAGUCUGGUGGCCUGACCUUUUUCUAAGGCAAGCAGGGUUCCACUGAGUCCAAACCAUAAAUUUCAUAUUUCACAUGGAAAUUCUUGCAGUAAUUAUAGAAAAAGUUGUUGUUUAAAAAUAAUGACUCAGCCAUGUGCUGAAGAAACUCAAUAAAAAUUGUUUGCGAGGUUUGUAGGAAGGGCACACCUAUUCUGUAAUUCUUACAUCUCGAGGACAUCGUCAGGAUGUCCAAGAUGUAGCUAUGUG